rnacentral:lncRNA from 1 species
CUCUCCCACUCCCAAUUGGCAGCAGCGACGCUCUCUCAUUUGCGGGCCCCAUUAAUGCCUGAAUGGCUUUAUUGGCAGAAACAUUUUUCAAUAUAUUAAGUAAAUUAUGCCAUUAGAGUCCUCAAUUUAGUCAUGAAUGCAACGAGCAAGAAAGAGAUUCCUUCCACACACACACGCCUGUCGUAUACGCAAUUGUCCUGAGGCACUCAAGGAAGUCCUAAACUGAGAUUGAAGUGUGCUAAAGAGAGAAGGAGGCAGAUGGAGCCAGAGAACUAUAGAGCUGCGAGGAGUGAUUCAACAGUUGAAAGUUGUUUAAGCUCCAAGGCACUUCACGGCUGCCUCUCAAGUACAAAGCGUUUCUUUUAG